CGUCUAUGACGCGACUGGCGCAUUGGGUGGGAGAGACCACCGGGGAGCGGAAUGGCGAAGGCCGUGCGCCUGGGUCUUCGCA
rnacentral:ncRNA from 2 species